UGCAGAACACGAAGAUAUGAAUAUUCGCCCCCCCCCCCCAAUUAUCGACCUGGCGGCGCCACUGUUGUAAAUCAGUGGCAAGUUUCUUCCUCGCGCUCUAUUUUCCCGCGUUAUUUUUGCAGCAUGUGGCAAGUCUAUAUAUUGUUCUCGCUUUCUCGGCCAAUUGUGUUUUUUACUGGGCAACAGACCGCUUUUGCUACUGUAAAGACGACAGACAUCCCAAAACGAGCGCACGUCGAGCGCGUAUCUUUUCCACAUAUAUCGAAAUAUAGCCGUUCUAUUCGAUACAAGCAACUGAUGCAUUUAUUACGAUAAAGUAUUUGCGUAAUAUACCAAUCAAUCGCGUUUCAGGAACGAUCAUGCAGCCAAUCGCUAUCCACAAACUUGCCCGAACCAGGGCUUUCCUCCCCCCCCCCC